GUGCUCGUUUCGGCAGCACAUAUACUAAAAUUGGAACGGUGCAGAGAAGAUUAGCAUGGCCCCUGAGCAAGGAUGACACGCAAAUUCGUGAAGUGUUCCAUAUCUUU
ensembl:snRNA U6 U6 spliceosomal RNA